rnacentral:rRNA from 1 species
CCUACGGGUGGCUGCAGUGGGGAAUAUUGGACAAUGGGGGAAACCCUGAUCCAGCAAUGCCGCGUGUGUGAAGAAGGCCUGCGGGUUGUAAAGCACUUUCGGUUGGGAAGAAAAGUUUGGCGCCAAUACCGCCGAACCUUGACGUUACUGACAGAAGAAGCACCGGCUACAUCUGUGCCAGCAGCCGCGGUAAUACAGAGGGUGCAAGCGUGGAUCGGAAUCUGCGGGGGUAAUCAGUCAAGUCGGGGGCGAAAUCCCCGGGCUUAACCUGGGAACUGCAUUCGAUACUACAUGGCUAGAGUAUGGUAGAGGGAAGUGGAAUUUCCGGUGUAGCGGUGAAAUGCGUAGAUAUCGGAAGGAACACCAAUGGCGAAGGCAGCUUCCUGGACUAAUACUGACACUGAGGCACGAAAGCGUGGGUAGCAAACAGGAUUAGAUACCCCUGUAGUC